rnacentral:lncRNA from 1 species
GCUUCUUAGGAGGUGGGGCAAAAUCCUACUCUCCCACGGAAAGCCACGCCUACCCCAGGCCCCUCCUUCGUUCCCUCCCGAGGGGUUGGCUCUGAUGACCUGGGCAGGGACUCUGCUUCGCAGACGCAGUGUCGAUCUAAUCUUGAGCGCAAGUUUCGUUUUUGGAGAUUGUCAAGGUGACACCCUCGGGGACUCCGUUUCCUUUUACAUGCCAUUCAUGAGACCCGGGCUUUACACACGAAGCACACACUCUAUACCUGAGGUGCAUUCCUUGUCCCUUUUCAAAUGUUUUCCACCUGUGAUUGGUUGAAUCCAUGGAUAUGGAGAGUCAACUGUGUUUAAUUCAGAGAAAUAAUUACACAGUGGCAUACUGGGGGCAUGGCAUAUCUGCCCUUGAAUUAAAGAGAGAGGAACAGUAGGGAAU